rnacentral:rRNA from 1 species
GACGAACGCUGGCGGCGUGCUUAACACAUGCAAGUCGAACGGAAAGGCCCUGCUUUUGUGGGGUGCUCGAGUGGCGAACGGGUGAGUAACACGUGAGUAACCUGCCCUUGACUUUGGGAUAACUUCAGGAAACUGGGGCUAAUACCGGAUAGGAGCUCCUGCUGCAUGGUGGGGGUUGGAAAGUUUCGGCGGUUGGGGAUGGACUCGCGGCUUAUCAGCUUGUUGGUGGGGUAGUGGCUUACCAAGGCUUUGACGGGUAGCCGGCCUGAGAGGGUGACCGGCCACAUUGGGACUGGGAUACGGCCCAGACUCCUACGGGAGGCAGCAGUGGGGAAUAUUGCACAUUGGGCGGAAGCCUGAUGCAGCAACGCCGCGUGCGGGAUAACGGCCUUCGGGUUGUAAACCGCUUUCGCCUGUGACGAAGCGUGAGUGACGGUAAUGGGUAAAGAAGCACCGGCUAACUACGUG